rnacentral:rRNA from 1 species
CCUACGGGAGGCAGCAGUGGGGAAUAUUGCACAAUGGGCGAAAGCCUGAUGCAGCCAUGCCGCGUGUGUGAAGAAGGCCUUCGGGUUGUAAAGCACUUUCAGUUGUGAGGAAAGGNGAGUAGUUAAUAGCUGCUUACUGUGACGUUAGCAACAGAAGAAGCACCGGCUAACUCCGUGCCAGCAGCCGCGGUAAUA